GGAGGUCCAGUAUCCAUAGACGUUCCAGUCGGAGGAAUUAAGACGAAGCCAGAGGAGCAUAUGUGAAAUUUGUUUAUACAGAGUAAACCUUGCGCGAGAGGUCGAGAAAGAGAGAUGGUCCAACCCAGCAAAGAGCCGUGCAAGAAAGAAGCAUGCGACAUUCAAGCUUGUCUUUCCAAGAACAAUUUCCUCCCUCAAAGGUAAUAUGAAAUCAUGGUUUCCAUACUCUCUUCGCCAAUUAUGUGUUGGUGAUUAGGGUUUUGUGUACUGAUCGAACUAUUCUGGGUUUUACCCUUUAGGACUGGGUCACUCAAAUUGUUAAUUGUUCGCCCUUCUGUAUCUUAGUUGGUUUCGUUGUAAUUGGUUUUGAAUUGAAUUUUGUUGAUAAUGGAUUAUUAUAUGUACGUUGCUGUCAGCUAAGCUAUUACAAGAAUCGUAAGAGUUGAGAACUAGGAGCCAUUUCCAGUUCCUCUCAUAGGUAGUGGAUCGGAUCAGAUUGGUUUGCAAGAGUAUAAAAUUAAAUUAGCAAGGCAGGGUAUCUAAGGUCCGAUUGCUCUGAGUUGUGGUUUUUGUUAUCCCGCCUAGGAAGGCAUAUAAUGGUAUAUCAAUCAAAUGAUCAAAAUGAUGGAAAUGUUCUUACUUUGCUGAAGAUGAUUGAUAACAGGAAACUGAACAAACAUUUCAAGAUGUUGCUAAAACAAGCAAGUGGUAGUAGUUUAAUCGACAGAUGAUAUUUUCAUGAUGCCAAUCUUAAAAGAAAACUACAGCUGCGUUUGGUUUCACCCUAAACAGGUUCGAUGACAGCAUGGGUCACUGCUUAAUGUUUCAGGUCUUUUCUCUGAAUCUAAGUGCUUGGUUUGACAAUGGUUGACGACGGACUGUGGUUUCUUUCUGGGGACCUUUUUGGCAGGUUUGGAGAUUUUCAUGGGCAUGGGGUGUUGUAGGCUGUUGAUGUUCAAGUCUUUUCUUGAAUGUUGCUUUUGCCAGUUUGUAGCAUAUAUCCAAACCUCCACAGCAUAUACUCAUAGUUGGCUAUGUAUGGGGGUGUUUGCAG
rnacentral:lncRNA from 1 species